GUGAUGUAGGAAAGGAGAGGUUAGCACUCCCCUUCACAAGGAUGGAAGGGGUCCUUGGGCCUGACAACACUCAUAUGGUUAAGGCAUUCCAAUCUAUUUCAUGGCAUUUAACCGCUGUUUUUG
rnacentral:ncRNA from 1 species